UCCUGUAGAUUUAAGUUUCAAAAUUCAAGCUGUUACUUUCAGUAUUUCUUGUGUACCAUCGAUUAUCUCGACCAGCUUCGGUGCUGUUAUUAUUUGCUUGUGUAUACGGAGUCGAGUGUUCGGUCGCUCCGUUCUCUAUCACGCGCUAACAGCGGGGACAACUCGGCGGGAAGAUCGUGACAAAAUAUUGAGAUUCUUCUCCUAAGACGCUGGCCACGGUCAUCUUGUUAGACCAGUCAGCCAAUUAGACGAUUUCCCGCGGAAAGAUCUUUCCCCCGAAUUGUUCCCGUCGAUCGGUCGCUCUGCCGAAGAUCUCGCCGCUCAACCAGACUCUCAGAGUGAUUCGACCGAGAACGAUCGCCGUUAAAAUCGCGCCGCAACCGUGAGAUUGAAAACUGAUAGAUUACUGACCGACGCUGGUCGGAACUUGUGUGUGAAAGCUGCAGACAAAUUUGUUAACGCCAGUGAGACAAUUUGACAAAUAAAGGUGUUUCGCGAAAUUUGGGCAGCGGACCUAUUGAGUCUUUCUUUCAAUCUCCGUCCUCGCGCCUUUAAAUCCCGCACGCUCGCGGAGCAGCUGAUCGCGGUCGAUCCUCGUCGCGCCUCUCGGCUCACUCGAACGCUGUCGCGCUCAGCGGCAGGACAACGGCAAGCUGCGCAUUACUUAAAUUACGCGUCUCACUCGCGCUCACUCGAGCUCGCCCGGCAAACUCAAGUUCGCGCACGUUAUCUCGGCAACGUGCAGUCGCGAACAAAAUAGUUUAUUUAAAAAAAUGUUCAAUUGUGUUCCUUGUAAAUUCCGCUCUCUGCCGAACCUAGAGUCACGAAACGAGGACGUGGCGGUUGUUGACUCCGUAUUUUUUUUUUUUUUAAUUUUCAAUUUUUUAAAAAAUAUUUUUAUUAUUUUUUUUGUAUAUGAUCAGUUAUUGAUCAACAGCUAAAAAGUUUUUUUUAUAGGAUUUUCUAGAGUGUGGUUUACGAUAUUCCCGCUGAAGGUUCCAGCAGUAAUCAGUCAUCAUGUGGAUAUCCCACCUUUUCUAAUAUCUGUCUUCUAUAGUUUUUAUAUCUUGAUAGAAUCUUUUUUCUUGUUCAUCGCUAAAAUCACCAAAGUUUUGUGAAAAGCGAUCUAAGUGGCUGUGUAGGUAAUGAAUUUUAAUGCUCAUGUGACAGCCAAGUUUAUUAAAAUUAGUGAGCAUAUUGUCUACCAAUUUACCAUAAUUAUCUGCUUUAUUAUUGCCAAGAAAGUGUUUGACAACUAAAACAAAUGAAGACCAGGCACGAGAUUUAAUUUUGUUCAUUGAAUAUGUAAAAUGUGGAUCUUUUAUAAGUUGUCUUAUCUGGGGACCAUCAAAAAUACCUGCUUUUAAUUUUUCCAAGCUCAGUGCCAAGAAAUUUGCUUAUUAAGUAGUUAAAGCAUAAAGCACUGUCUUUGUUCAAAGUUUUUACAAAUUGUUUCAUCAGACCUAGCUUUAUAUGUAAUAGUGGCAGGAUGAUUGUUUUUCUGUCAACCAACGAUUUUUUAACAACAUUGUGUUUUCCAACUCCCAUGUUCUUUCUUAAAGGCCAUUUUUUUCUGCCCCAGUGAUCAUGUUCGCUCUGCUAUCCCAAAGACAUAAAAAGCACGGACAUUUUGUAUAGCCACUUUGCUGACCAAGGAGAAAGUUCCCCAUUUUUAGGUCUACACAAACAACCCACUAAUGUUUUGAGUAUUUUAUCUUUUCUAAUGCUAGAAAAAUUGAUUCAUACUCUUCUUUCAUUUUUGCAGAAUGACCAAUUGGAAUGGAACCAUAUCUGUUGCCGUUAUGUAAUAAAAUACAUUUUAGACUUUGCUUGGAGCUAUCAAUAAAAAGACGCCAAUCGUUUGGAUUGUACUCUAUUACCCCUAAUUUGUUUAAAACACCUUUUAUAUCAUUGCAAAACACUAGGCUCUGUUUAUAAGAGAAGAAUGGCAAAAAAUCCUUUUCUCUGAAUGUAUUCAGCACAAAUGUAGCAAAAGACAUUUGGAUUAUGCAAGCAGCUUUUUCAUGAGAAAGCCAUGACUUUACUUAAUAUACCAAAAUUGAGUACUUUCUAAAUUUUAUAGAAUAAAAUAUCAAAAUUUUUAGAAUAAAAUUGAGCCUCUGAUGUAUCACUCUUAUUAAAAUAAUAAAUCACUCGAAAAUUGCACAGACUCAAUUUUCAUUAUUUUAGAGUAACAUUUGUCUGUAAGAAAUUUAGAAAGUAUACUAUAUAAUUUAUGUAUAUAACCAAUAGAUUUAGAAAAUCGCGGCAGUAUAUGUACCAAAAAGUGAUGUACUUUUUUCAAAUAACAUAUUAUCUCGCGCUCCUUAUAUCCAGUGGUUGCGACAUUUGACUUACGAGAACGCCACUCUCUAGUGGCGUGCAGUCGCAAUUACUUUUAAUUCCGCGUGAUGGAUUAAAAUAGAAUUUAAAAAAUUUCUGACACUUUAAUUGGAUAGAAAUUGAUUUAAAAAAUCAGAAUUUUUAUUCGGCAUAGAUCAAAAGAUCCAUUUCUAAUUUAUUUCAAUCCAUUUCCAAAUGCUGAGAAACAGAUCUAAAAUAUGUUUACAAUAUAAAAUCUAUAUAUGACAAAAUCAAAUUUGCAAUGUAUAAGCUAGAUUGUACUCAAAACAAUAUACAAUAUUUAUGGAACCUGUUGCAAUAAUAUACAAAAUUAAAAAUGUAAGAAAAAUUUAAUAUAUAUAAUAAUAUUUAAAAAGUGAAAGAAAUUAAAUACGAAAUAAACAAUUGCCACGUUUUUGUUUUGUGACUCCGAGUUUGAUAAAGAGCGAGAUUUAUGAGCAAUACAAUUGAGAAAACUGUUUAAUAAAUUGUUUUUACAUUAACUUGUCAAUUUUCUGUAAGUCAACUAUGUAUUUUUCAUGAUUCAGAUUUGCUAUAUUAGAUUCUUUAUUUCCAACUUUAAUUUAAACAAUUAGGAGAAAUUUUAAGAUAUCGGAUUUGUUUGGAUUUGUGUCCAUGCUUUCAAAGUCGCUAACUUAAAAAUAUUAUAAAAAUAUAAAAUUUGUUCGGUUCUUAAAGCAUUUUUUGUAACAUUUUUGCAAUAUUCUUUAUAUUUUUUUAUAAACUGAUAUUAUAUUCAGAUUCAGUGAUCUUAAAAACCCUAUAUUACAAUUUUAUGGAAAUUAAACUAUGUUUUAUUAGCUUUCUCAUCCGCCAUAUUAGACACGCCAUUUUUAAUUUUUAAAUGGGAUACAGAACUUCAAGAAUACAUAUUUUUAUUUUAAUUUUAUGAGCUAAUUUAUUUAUUUUACCCUUAACCACCUUCGGCGGCAGAGCGACCCGUUUCACACGAAGAGACCCGCGCGCAGCGGCAUGUCGUUUUAAAUUCAAUAACUUCUUAACAAAUGGUCGGAAAUUAAUUUUUCAAAAAAAGAUUUAAACUAGAAACAUACAGCUAUAAACCCUAAAUAGUCAUAUAUUUUUUAAGAUUUUUUUGGCCGAGGAAAUUGGUUUUUUUAUUCGAAAUUUUGCUGUUUUUCCAUUUUUUUCACAAUAUUAUUCAAGUUUUUGCUUUGUGGCUUGCAUAUUAAUAUUCUUUUGGUAUCAUUAAAAUAAUAUUAGUAUUGCGGGAGACUUUCUGAGUAAAAAUGCCGUAUUGUAAACUCCGAUAUAAUUUUUUUUUCUACUACUAAAAAGUUACAAGGUAUAAAAGUUUUUAAAAAAGAUUAUUUAACGGUUAUUUAAAAAACAAGAGCUGAUGGGUAAAAACGAAUUUCUGAUUCGUUUUCAGCGACCCAAAAUCCUUUAGAAUCAACCUUCAAAAUGGCGGUACCAAAAUGUGUGUUGGCCAGUGUUAUAAUUAUUUGAGUAAUAUUGUAAUAAUCGAAUAAUAUUAUUUAAAUUAUAUGCUUAGAUUAUGAACUAUCAAAUAUGUAACAUUCGUAAUUAAUCAUCUCUUUUAUUUACAACCCAA